rnacentral:rRNA from 1 species
UACGGAGGGUGCAGGCGUUAUCCGGAUUUACUGGGUUUAAAGGGUGUGUAGGCGGGCUUUUAAGUCAGUGGUGAAAUCUCCGGGCUCAACCUGGAAACUGCCAUUGAUACUAUUAGUCUUGAAUAUUGUUGAGGUAGGCGGAAUAAGUCAUGUAGCGGUGAAAUGCAUAGAUAUGACUUAGAACACCAAUUGCGAAGGCAGCUUGCUAAACAAUGAUUGACGCUGAGGCACGAAAGCGUGGGGAUCAAACAGG